AUGGCUUCCAGCGGGGUCCCAGUGAGCGCUGCCAGCUCUACUAAUGAAACUCCCCGAAAUACCGAACAACGUGGGAGAUUGGCUUCGGGGCGUCUACCGCUUUGCCAGUGAUAGGAAUGACUUCCGCAGGAACUUGAUCCUCAAUUUGGGACUCUUUGCUGCGGGAGUUUGGUUGGCCAGGAGCUUGAGUGACAUUGACCACAUGGCACCUCAGCCAGGGGUGUAGCCAAGUAGACAAAUGGAAUCCUGUGCUGAACCUGAACCUU